rnacentral:rRNA from 1 species
GACGAACGCUGGCGGCGUGCUUAACACAUGCAAGUCGAGCGGCAGCGGGUCCCCGCGAGGGGAUGCCGGCGAGCGGCGGACGGGUGAGGAACACAUCGGAAUCUGCCUGGUUGUGGGGGAUAACGUAGGGAAACUUACGCUAAUAUCGCAUGCGACCCUGAGUCGACGGACUGGGGGUNAGAGUGAGGGACCUUCGGGCCUCACGCGACCAGAUGAGCCGAUGUCGGAUAGCUAGUUGGCGGGGUAACGGCCCGCCAAGGCGACGAUCCGUAGCUGGUCUGAGAGGAUGAUCAGCCACACUGGGACUGAGACACGGCCCAGACUCCUACGGGAGGCAGCAGUGGGGGAAUCUUAGCGCAAUGGGCGAAAGCCUGACGCAGCGACGCCGCGUGGAGGGAUGACGG